AGAGUUUGAUCCUGGCUCAGAUUGAACGCUGGCGGAAUGCUUUACACAUGCAAGUCGAGCGGCAGCGCGGGGCAACCUGGCGGCGAGCGGCGAACGGGUGAGUAAUGCAUCGGAACAUGUCCAUGUCGUGGGGGAUAGCCCGGCGAAAGCCGGAUUAAUACCGCAUACGCCCGAGAGGGGAAAGUGGGGGACCGCAAGGCCUCACGCGAUUGGGUUGGCCGAUGUCCGAUUAGCUAGUUGGCGGGGUAAUGGCCCACCAAGGCGAUGAUCGGUAGCUGGUCUGAGAGGAUGAUCAGCCACACUGGGACUGAGACACGGCCCAGACUCCUACGGGAGGCAGCAGUGGGGAAUUUUGGACAAUGGGGGCAACCCUGAUCCAGCCAUUCCGCGUGAGUGAAGAAGGCCUUCGGGUUGUAAAGCUCUUUUGUCCGGAACGAAACGGUUGGCGUGAAUAUCGCCGACUACUGACGGUACCGGAAGAAUAAGCACCGGCUAACUACGUGCCAGCAGCCGCGGUAAUAC
rnacentral:rRNA from 1 species